rnacentral:lncRNA from 10 species
GGCAUGGUGAGGCAUGCCUGUAUUCCCACCUACUUGGGAGGCUGAGGCAGAAUUGCUUGAACCCAGGAGGCAGAGGUUGCAGUGAGCUGAGAUCAUGCCACUGCACUCCAGCCUGGGCGAUAGAGCAACUCAGUCUCAAAAAAGGUUCAGUAAUUGGGAUAUUAAUUGACGAGUAAGCAGCACCCAUAUGGAUUUAGAAGUCCAAUUUUCAUUUCCCCACUGUCGAAUUUACCCAAGGCUCCUGAGGGAAAAUCUUAACGUCAGACAGGGUUGGAGCCAUCAGGAGUCUUGGGCCCCUCAGUCCUCUUUGGAUUCGUUUUCAGGCUUAACAGCCAUAAGUGACCUAAGCUCCUUCUUAAUCAACUUGGGGCAGUCUUUCUUUCAAUGCCCUGUCUCCUGACAGUAAGUGCAUUGAUCCUUUCCUAUAUUUUCCUUCUGCCUCAGGGGUCCCUUUUUCUUCGGGUUUCCUACCACAGUGGCUCUAAGUAUUGCUGCCUGCCAUAGAGCCUUAGUUUCCUUGGAUUCCCUGCUAUUGUAGACAUUGAAUGCAAUGUCAAUUAACUGAGAAGCAUUCAUUCCCAUAGCCCCUUCCACAUUUGGAACUUCUUUCUGAUGUCUGGGGGCACUUUGCCUUGUAAGAGUCAUGUUUACCAUUCUGACAUUUUUGGGGUCCUGUGGAUCUAAGUCUGUAUACUUUCUAUACAUUUGACAGAUCUGUUCCAUAAAUUCUGAGGGGUCCUCAUUAGGUUUCUGCUGAAGUUCCUGCACUUUGUUCAGACUUUUAGGUCUCAGCACCCCUACCUAAUGUCCUUUAGAAUACACCUUUUACAAUGCUACAGACAAUUAUCUCCAGCUACAAUGGCCUCAUUUGGGUCCAAAUUUGGGUCACUGCAUGGAAUCAGCUCAUCAGGGUCUAGGGUAUCAUCAGGGCUUUCAUCAUGAAAGUGCUUUUUUUUCUCCUUUGUCUAAUACUAGCCUUCUCUCAUCUGCAGUAAGCAUAAUAUUUAGGAGGGCUUGCACAUCAGCCCAGGUAGGGCAAUGGGUGGCAAAAAUAGUGGUAACUGUUCAGUCAUCUUCUGGGGUUCUUCCCUGUAGGAAGGACUGGAACUUUUCCAAUUCAGUAAAUCAGAUGUGGGAAAAGGGCUUCAUGCUCAGUAAUAUCCAGCCAGAGGCUCUUGCUGAUUAACUCCCGUGGGAUAUUGUCAGAAGGGAAAUUGUCCUGCCCCAGGCUUGGUAGCUCCUCAGCCAAAAUUAGUGCCUUGCCCAGUUCAGGAGGGAGAGACUGUGUCUGUAGCCUCUUUGAACUUUGGGGGUGGUGACUCUUCACUCUCUUGACUAGGUGGUGGGACACUAGCUUUUACUGGAUUAGGCAUGUAUAGCAAUUGCUGACUCUAGCUCUUUUUCUUUCUUCCUCUCCCUCAGGGUCAGGUGACACUUUGUCUGGGUAAUGCAACAUUAACUCACUCCCUUUAACCUCUUGGUUAUGUAGCAACAUAAGUGCCUGAAUGUAGGGGAAUUUUUAAACGCUUCCUCCCAUUUCCUCAAACAUUGACAAAACAGCUGUAACUGAAAGAUAUAAUAGCUUAAAGACCCCAAAAUUGGCCACCAUUUUUUGGAUCCUAAAGCAUACAUUAGCCAAACCAUAUUACAAUAGUAAACCAUUUUCCUCUUAGUCAUGGGGGUAACCUCGUACUAUUUCCAAUCUGACAGCAUUUUUCCCAGAGGGCUCCCUGAGGGAAGGAAAGCAGCACUUUCCAUUUUAAGUCUGACAAAACCACAGACAUGAACAUGGAGACAGUUUCAGACAAACACAAAAGGAAGCGUACUUGGGUAAAACAGAUCUGAAAUCAGCUUCAGGUUUACUCCUAACCAAAUAGCAACUGAGUAUAAAAAUGAGCCCUACUAUUUUCCUGACGGUAUCAGACCAAACGGCUUAAUAAGCCCAGAUAAGAAAAUAACAGGCUUCCUGCAUAUGAUCCAGUUUUACUCACCCUUUGAGUGCAUCCACUCCUGCCUGAUCACCAUUCUUCCCCAGUGGUGAGAGGGACAUGUGGUUUUUGCACAUGGAAUAGCCCCUGGGAGAGUCCCCAGGACAAUCUUAUCCAGCAGCUUCUGGGAGUCUCCAAAUGACCAUCUCGCCACAAUCACGGGCCACUGAGUGCAGCACCAUUUCAGUGACUCUUGGCUAGCUUGCCAGAUGUUGUUCCUGGACCAAACUGGGUCUGGCUGUGUGUUCUUGUGGCCCAAUAACAAGAUGCAGACAAACUGGGA